rnacentral:rRNA from 1 species
CCUACGGGGGGCUGCAGUGGGGAAUCUUAGACAAUGGGGGAAACCCUGAUCUAGCCAUGCCGCGUGAGCGAUGAAGGCCUUAGGGUUGUAAAGCUCUUUCAGCUGGGAAGAUAAUGACGGUACCAGCAGAAGAAGCCCCGGCUAACUCCGUGCCAGCAGCCGCGGUAAUACGGAGGGGGCUAGCGUUGUUCGGAAUUACUGGGCGUAAAGCGCACGUAGGCGGAUUAUUAAGUCGGGGGUGAAAUCCCGGGGCUCAACCCCGGAACUGCCUUCGAUACUGGUAGUCUUGAGGUCGAGAGAGGUGAGUGGAAUUCCGAGUGUAGAGGUGAAAUUCGUAGAUAUUCGGAGGAACACCAGUGGCGAAGGCGGCUCACUGGCUCGAUACUGACGCUGAGGUGCGAAAGCGUGGGGAGCAAACAGGAUUAGAUACCCUAGUAGUC